UACGUAGGGGGCAAGCGUUGUCCGGAAUUAUUGGGCGUAAAGAGCUCGUAGGCGGUUUGUCGCGUCUGCUGUGAAAACUCGGGGCUUAACCCCGGGCCUGCAGUGGGUACGGGCAGACUAGAGUGCGGUAGGGGAGACUGGAAUUCCUGGUGUAGCGGUGAAAUGCGUAGAGAUCAGGAAGAACACCGAUGGCGAAGGCAGGUCUCUGGGCCACUACUGACGCUGAGAAGCGAAAGCAUGGGGAGCGAACAGG
rnacentral:rRNA from 1 species